rnacentral:rRNA from 1 species
UACGAGAGGCCCAAACGUUAUUCGGAAUUACUGGGCUUAAAGAGUUCGUAGGCGGCAUUGCAAGUAGGGUGUGAAAGCCCUCGGCUCAACCGAAGAAUUGCGCUCUAAACUGCAGUGCUUGAGGAACCUAGAGGUGAGCAGAACAGAUGGUGGAGCGGUGAAAUGCGUUGAUAUCAUCUGGAAUACCGGAGGCGAAGGCGGCUCACUGGGAGUUUUCUGACGCUGAGGAACGAAAGCCAGGGUAGCGAACGGG